rnacentral:lncRNA from 1 species
CCUGGUCAGUCUAUGUCAUGGAAAAAGCAGGUGUUCUUAAUGUUUUGUAUUGUGUCUGUGUGUCUGUGUGUCUGUCUGUGUGUCUGUGUGCCUGUGUGCAUGUGAAACUACUGCAUACAGAUGUUUGACAUGUUCAUAAUAAUGUCAUAACAACUAUACAACUUAACAAUCUGUUCCUUUAAGUUACACUGUGUCCAACUAUAUGCUAUGUAAAUAUAUACCAGUAUGUGUUUUAGACAGUGCUUCGUGGAUGCAUGCUCUUAGAUGAAAAUCUCAUUCCUCUCAUGAUGUUUUUCAGAUGUUUUUUCAACCACUGGAGUUCAACGUGAGCCUGUUUUCAGAUGUCCUGUUAGAUGGACGGGAACUGGGUCUCAAGGAGAUCUACACAGAGCUGGCCAUCUUUCUUCUGUUGGUAUACAUCAUGUUCGUCAUCGGCAACAACAUGAUCGUCACUCUGGUGAUCAUCACUCCAAACUUCAGUCGCUUCUUGCAGAUGCAUACCUAUUUGACAUUCCAAACUACAGAGGGAUUUAUCCUAUGUGCUGUGACCUACGACUGCUAUGUUGCUAUCUGCAAUCGUUUACGCCACAACAGCAUCAUGACAAUCAAGGUGCAUGUUCCUGGCCUCAACAACAUGGGCUUCCAGCAUUGACUGUCAUUCUUGCAUCAAAACUACCUUUCAGUAGUCAUCAGAUAAUGUAUUGGUUUUGUGAUUAUCCUCCGACUGUUACAUUGUCAAGUUGGAAACAAUAUUUUUGAUAGAUUAGGUCCUCGCAUGUGCUUUAUUUGUGAUGUAUGUUCCAUUCACUGUCAUAAUUUGGUCAUAUUGUAAAAUCAUCAAACAAUUUGCAAAAUUGCCACAUCUGAAGGGCAGGAAAAAAGAUUUCUCUACCUGCUCCUCUCAUCUCAUUGCUGUCAUUACCUUCUACAUUGAUUAUUCAUGUGUCUACAUCUGUGCUAAAUCAUAUCAUAUUCAUCUCAAUGUCAUCAUCUUGAUGUCUAUUGUCAACUAUGUUUUAACUCCUCUUGUGAAUCCACUUGUUUACAGUUUCAGGAACAAAGGUUUCUGUCCUGAAACUCCUGUCUUCAAUAAAGUUAUUCCAUAAUGCACCAUGUUUACAUCUCAUUAUUAUUGACCCUGAGGAACAUACAGUGAUGCCGAAACGUUGGUAAACACCCAAUGAGUUGCUGGGAGUUUGUAUAUGGAGUGUGCGACUUCCUUUAUUUUGAUAGUUUAUAGAUGUUAUUAUUUAACAAUGAAUGGACAGGUCUGAAUUGGAGAAUAUGAUUCUGU